UACGUAGGCAGCAAGCGUUGUUCGGAGUUACUGGGCGUAAAGAGUGCGUAGGCGGUCCUGUAAGUUUGGUGUGAAAUCUCCCGGCUCAACUGGGAGGGUGCGCCGAAGACUGCAGGGCUUGAGUAUGGGAGAGGUAAGCGGAAUUCCUGGUGUAGCGGUGAAAUGCGCAGAUAUCAGGAGGAACACCGGUGGCGAAGGCGGCAUCCUGGACCGACACUGACGCUGAGGCGCGAAAGCUAGGGUAGCAAACGGG
rnacentral:rRNA from 1 species